UAUAAGCGAUUUAUUUAAUUAACACUUCCAAAUUUCUCACAUUCGAGUCAGUCAGCUACUUUUUCUUCCGUCUGAUUUACGCCAUGGCAGAUUAACAAUUCUUACAUUAUUUUUGUAGCUUUCCCUUCUAGAAUCAGAAUUCAUCUCGCUCUCCCUUCUCCUUAGAGAUCAUUUAUAUGGCUAAGAGAACGAAGAGAACUUUUGUAAUUCCAAUUAAGGUUCCGUGUGAAACAUAUUUGGAAAAGAAAACUCUUACACAAAUCAAAUCGAUAAUAUCUAUGUCGUUGGUGACCUACCCAAGUUGAAAGAAAUUCGAGCCACACAAGCACAAGAUGCAAGCCAUUAAUCCAAGUUUUUUUUUGAAGACUUCAUUCCCGGUUUAAAAUGUUGUGAUGCAUUUUUCAGUAAUAGACUUUUGGUACAUAUGGAGAAUAUGCUUUUUCAUCUAAAUUUUUUUUUAUCUAAUGUGUUGAUUUCUAAUUAAGCACACUAAUGUUCUUAAAACAAAUUAUAUUUAAAAUUUU